GAUUUGAUAGCAUAAAUGGUAAUGCAUUAGAUUGCAAAUCUAAUAAUAGCUGUUCAAUUCAGCUUCAAAUC
rnacentral:tRNA from 1 species